CGCAGCCAUGCUGCCUGCAGUAGAGCAGGUAACCCUUCUGAAGCUAAGCUGGUUUGGGCCUGGCCAGUACAGUGACAAGGAAAGCUGGGUUGUGGCUGUUA
rnacentral:rRNA from 1 species